rnacentral:rRNA from 1 species
UACGUAGGGAGCAAGCGUUAUCCGGAAUUAUUGGGUGUAAAGGGUGCGUAGACGGGAUAACAAGUUGGUUGUGAAACCCCUCGGCUCAACUGAGGAACUGCAACCAAAACUAUUAUUCUUGAGUGCAGGAGAGGAAAGUGGAAUUCCUAGUGUAGCGGUGAAAUGCGUAGAUAUUAGGAAGAACACCGGUGGCGAAGGCGGUCUGCUGGACAGCAACUGACGCUGAGGCGCGAAAGCGUGGGGAGCAAACAGG